rnacentral:piRNA from 1 species
CAGGAAGUUGGAAUGUGCACACGGA